CUCUGUGAUGACAAUACCUGAUA
rnacentral:miRNA from 1 species